rnacentral:rRNA from 1 species
UACGUAGGGGGCUAGCGUUGUCCGGAUUUAUUGGGCGUAAAGCGCGUGUAGGCGGCCCGGUAAGUCCGCUGUGAAAGUCGGGGGCCCAACCCUCGAAUGCCGGUGGAUACUGUCGGGCUAGAGUGCGGAAGAGGCGAGUGGAAUUCCUGGUGUAGCGGUGAAAUGCGCAGAUAUCAGGAGGAACACCAAUUGCGAAGGCAGCUCGCUGGGACGUGACUGACGCUGAGACGCGAAAGCGUGGGGAGCAAACAGG